rnacentral:rRNA from 1 species
UUAGUGGCGGACGGGUGAGUAACGCGUGGAAAACCUGCCGUAUACUGGGGGAUAACACUUAGAAAUAGGUGCUAAUACCGCAUAAGCGCACAGCUUCGCAUGAAGCGGUGUGAAAAACUCUGGUGGUAUACGAUGGUUCCGCGUCUGAUUAGCUAGUUGGUGGGGUAAUGGCCUACCAAGGCAACGAUCAGUAGCCGGCCUGAGAGGGUGAACGGCCACACUGGGACUGAGACACGGCCCAAACUCCUACGGAAGGCAGCAG